rnacentral:misc_RNA from 1 species
GAUGAAGAACGUAGCGAAAUGCGAUACUUGGUGUGAAUUGCAGAAUCCCGUGAACCAUCGAGUCUUUGAACGCAAGUUGCGCCCGAAGCCAUUAGGCCGAGGGCACGCCUGCCUGGGCGUCACACGUCGUUGCCCCCCCAUCUACUCCUUCGGGAUUGCGGGGGGCGGAUGAUGGCCUCCCGUGCGCCUCGUCGCGCGGUUGGCAUAAAUGCCAAGUCCUCGGCGACGCACGCCACGACAAUCGGUGGUUGCGAAACCUCGGUUGCCCGUCGUGUGCGGUCGUCGCGCAUCGAGGGCUCGAAAAAAAUGUCGGGCUCCGGCUCGGCUUUCAACGCGACCCCAGGUCAGGCGGGGUUACCCGCUGAAUUUAAGCAUAUCAAUAAGCGGAGGA